UGUCUCGCGAGAGUUCCGGUUUUCGGCGGUGCUUUGUCAAUUGGUCUGGCUCCUCCGGCUCUUGGAACCUUUUGCCCGGUCGAGGCUGAGUAGGGGGCUGUCUGGUGUCGUGGGUACGGCCAGGGACUUUGACGAGGCGCAGGCUGGGAGCUGCGUCUCCUCCCACCCUGGAGCCCGAGGCCCAGGUGAGGCGCGGCCCGGGCAUUGGGUUCUCGGGCUGGACCUUUACCUGCCUUCUCCUCAGGAGCGGAGAUGGGCUGGCAGAGACGCUCUGCUGCCACUUGGCAGAAGGACCCCGUGGUAGGAAAGCGAGACCCGAUUAAGCCCUGCCAGAGUUCAAGUGGAGUCACACUUACAUUUUGAACUUCGUUUCUAAUGCAGACACUUAAAGCAGCUCUAUUCACCUCCCAAAAAGGUGUUCAAGCUGAGAUGGUAUAUAUAUGAUGCCGAAACCUUCAUCAACUCCUCCAAAGCUUGUUUGCACUCUUCUGUUUGGACUGUUUUUCCAUGUGUGGCUUGUGAAAUCACAGGAGUGACUGUUGCCCAGGUACAUGAUUUGAGCAGAGUCAAACCUGCGGAGUUGAGUGUGACAAAGGAGAGAGCGUGGAGCCUAGAGGUUUAUUGGGAACCUGGCCCUCUGUUACCGUAGUACCUAAAUUUCUACCUUGUCUUUUCAGGGAGAACGAGAUUCCAUGCUUCGAGUUUUGAAAGGCAUGACUGCAGUUAGCAACGUGUGAAUAACAACAUACACAAUCUCUUCAUCAACAACAAGGAACUGCAUUCUGACCUUCACAUUGUCUACGUGUGCUACUGAGUGUGGGGUCAUAUCCUAAGCUUCAGCUCUAAUAAGCAUUCAUCACAGGGAAGGUACGAUCUUGGAUAUUCAGUUGGCCACAAAUAGCUUUAAGUACAUUUAUGGUCAAGUCAAAUGGUAGCUUUGCUGAAACAUUAAUAGAAAAGCAUUGGUAAUUCAUGUCAGAAUGAGAUACAAGAUAAUAGGUGAAAAAUGAUUUCACAGAAAAGAAAUUUUGAUAAACCUAGAAAACAAUUUCAGUUAUUUUUGUCCAUUAACAUUAGCAUUUUAGUUUAAAGAGCUACUUGAAUCACAUGUUGUUCCUUCCCAUAAGAAGAGAUUUUGAGUACAACAGGAUGAAUUUCUCAUUGAGAAACUUGUUUUUGCCCCAGUUUCCUUUCUAGUCUCCAGUAGGACACUGUCAUCAUUCAGUAUUGGUAUUGUAGCAACUUAGAUGCACCAAAUUGCAACAUAUAGGACUUAAGUCAGAGCCCCAUGGCAGUGACUCUGAAAAGACUAGUUUUAUUAGUUAUACUAUUAAGGGUUUUUUGUUGCUGUUUUAAAAGACUCCCAGAAAUCCAAAUUUACAUUUUGUGGAACAUGAGCCAAAACUAAUUGAGGUUGUUAUGGAAAAAUGGUCUCAUUUUAAUGGUCUGUAUUACCUCUGGGACCCUGCUGGUCAAAGCUGUGUGGCCCACAAGGCAAAAAUUAGAAUGAUGUUUUUCAUAUUAUCUUAAUUUUUUAUUACUGACUUUGUUACAGCUUGAUCUUUGGAGGUGCUUUGUACUGUGUAAAUGAAAUUUACUGAAAAUGUACAUAAAUGACGUCCCAAUAAACCAUAAAUUGAUUUUUUUA